rnacentral:rRNA from 1 species
GACGAACGCUGGCGGCGUGCUUAACACAUGCAAGUCGAACGGAAAGGCCCUGCUUUUGUGGGGUGCUCGAGUGGCGAACGGGUGAGUAACACGUGAGUAACCUGCCCUUGACUUUGGGAUAACUUCAGGAAACUGGGGCUAAUACCGGAUAGGAGCUCCUGCUGCAUGGUGGGGGUUGGAAAGUUUCGGCGGUUGGGGAUGGACUCGCGGCUUAUCAGCUUGUUGGUGGGGUAGUGGCUUACCAAGGCUUUGACGGGUAGCCGGCCUGAGAGGGUGACCGGCAACCUUGGGACUGAGCUACGGGCCAGACUACUAAGGGAGACAGCAGUGGGGAAUAUUGCACAAUGGGCGGAAGCCUGAUGCAGCAACGCCGCGUGCGGGAUGACGGCCUUCGGGUUGUAAACCGCUUUCGCCUGUGACGAAGCGUGAGUGACGGUAAUGGGUAAAGAAGCACCGGCUAACUACGUG